rnacentral:rRNA from 1 species
CCUACGGGGGGCAGCAGUGAGGAAUAUUGGUCAAUGGGCGGGAGCCUGAACCAGCCAAGUCGCGUGAGGGAAGACGGUCCUACGGAUUGUAAACCUCUUUUGCCGGGGAGCAAUGGGGUCCUUGCGAGGGCCCGACGAGAGUACCCGGAGAAAAAGCAUCGGCUAACUCCGUGCCAGCAGCCGCGGUAAUACGGAGGAUGCGAGCGUUAUCCGGAUUUAUUGGGUUUAAAGGGUGCGCAGGCGGCGAGUUAAGUCAGCGGUAAAAUUUCGGGGCUCAACCCCGACGAGCCGUUGAAACUGGCUUG